rnacentral:rRNA from 1 species
UUAUACAAUAAAUGCUAUUUAAUAUUAUUGGUUUAAUUGAAGUUAAUUGUUUAUUGAGUUUAUUAUAUUUAUUUUUAGGUGAAAUUUAAAUUUUUAUUAAUCUUUAUUAGGGUCUUUGAAAUGUAAAGUUUAAACUAGGAUUAGAUACCCUAUUAUUUUAUAUGUUAAUUUUUACCUGGGUAAUAUUAGUUAUGUUCUUUAAACCUAAAGAAUUUGGCGGUGUUUUAAGUCUAUUCAGAGGAAUUUGUGCCAUAAUCGAUAGUCCUCGUUUUAAUCGUUCUUAUUUUGGUAUUCAGUAUGUAUACCGCCGUUAUAAGCUUAUUUUAUUAGGAUUAUAAUUUGCUAAUUUUUUUAUUAUAAAUUAUUUCA